AGGCGGCAUCGUUCUAUCGCUUCAACUUAUGGUUGGGGAGGAAAGUCCGGACAACGCAGAGCAUCAUACUACCUAACGGGUAGGCAAGGGUCGCAAGACGUUUGACAGCAAGUGCCACAGAAAACAACCGCCGAUGCUUUGUAAGCAGGUAAGGGUGAAAACGUGAGGUAAGAGCUCACGAGUCGGGUUAGUGAUAAUUCGUUUGGGCAAACCUUAUGAGUUGAAAGACCAAAUAUAUCGCAAUUAAGGGCUGCUCGUCCGCUGCGAGGGGUAGGUCGUUGGAGGCUUGUUGUGAAGCAAGUCCCAGAUUAAUGGUAGAAGCGGAAGUAAAACUCCGAACAGAAUCCGGCUUACAGAUGUUGCCUUAUU
rnacentral:RNase_P_RNA from 1 species